AGUCACUGACAUUAGAUACCCCGGUAGUCCAGGGUGUAAACGCUGCAGACUUGGUGUUGGAAGUCCUUUGGGGGCAUUCAGUGCCGGAGAGAAGUUGUUAAGUCUGCUACUUGGGAGUACGUCCGCAAGGAUGAAACUUAAAGGAAUUGGCGGGGAGCACCGCAACGGGAGGAGCGUGCGGUUUAAUUGGAUUCAACACCGUAAAACUCACCAGGGAAGACUGUUACAUGAAAGCCGAGAUGAAGACUCUGCUAGAUUUUCAG
rnacentral:rRNA from 1 species